GUUCACACAAGUACCCUUCUAUGUACCCUACAUCCUAACAGGUUCACACUAGUACCCUUCUAUGUACCCUACAUCCUAAAAGGUUCACACUAGUACCCUUCUAUAUACCCUACAUCCUAACAGGUUCACACUAGUACCCUUCUAUAUACCCUACAUCCUAAGAGGUUCACACAAGUACCCUUCUAUGUACCCUACAUCCUAACAGGUUCACACUAGUACCCUUCUAUAUACCCUACAUCCUAACAGGUUCACACAAGUACCCUUCUAUGUACCCUACAUCCUAACAGGUUUACACUAGUACUCAUCUAUAUACUCUACAUCCUAACUGGUACACACUAGUA